rnacentral:piRNA from 1 species
UAGGAAAGUUAAUAUUUCUCCUUGGGGGA